UACGUAGGGUGCAAGCGUUAAUCGGAAUUACUGGGCGUAAAGCGUGCGCAGGCGGCUUUGCAAGACAGAUGUGAAAUCCCCGGGCUUAACCUGGGAACUGCAUUUGUGACUGCAUGGCUGGAGUGCGGCAGAGGGGGAUGGAAUUCCGCGUGUAGCAGUGAAAUGCGUAGACAUGCGGAGGAACACCGAUGGCGAAGGCAGCACUCUGGGCCGGUACUGACGCUGAGGAGCGAAAGCGUGGGGAGCAAACAGG
rnacentral:rRNA from 1 species